CCUACGGGAGGCAGCAGUGAGGAAUAUUGGUCAAUGGGCGCGAGCCUGAACCAGCCAAGCAGCGUGAAGGAUGAAGGCCCUAAGGGUUGUAAACUUCUUUUAUAGAGGGAUAAAGUGAGGCACGUGUGCCUUUUUGUAUGUACUUUAUGAAUAAGGAUCGGCUAACUCCGUGCCAGCAGCCGCGGUAAUACGGAGGAUCCGAGCGUUAUCCGGAUUUAUUGGGUUUAAAGGGAGCGUAGGUGGGUUGUUAAGUCAGUUGUGAAAGUGUGCGGCUCAACCUUAAGAUUGCAAUUGAUACUGGCAGCCUUGAGUACAGUUGAGGUAGGCGGAAUUCGUGGUGUAGCGGUGAAAUGCUUAGAUAUCACGAAGAACUCCGAUUGCGAAGGCAGCUUACUAAACUGCCACUGACAUUGAUGCUCGAAAGUGUGGGUAUCAAACAGGAUUAGAUACCCGUGUAGUC
rnacentral:rRNA from 1 species